UAAAUCAAGUAGACAAGAAAAUGGUCCUGC
rnacentral:piRNA from 1 species